rnacentral:rRNA from 1 species
UACGUAGGGGCUAGCGUUAUCCGGAAUUACUGGGCGUAAAGGGUGCGUAGGUGGUUUCUUAAGUCAGAGGUGAAAGGCUACGGCUCAACCGUAGUAAGCCUUUGAAACUGGGAAACUUGAGUGCAGGAGAGGAGAGUGGAAUUCCUAGUGUAGCGGUGAAAUGCGUAGAUAUUAGGAGGAACACCAGUGGCGAAGGCGGCUUUCUGGACUGUAACUGACACUGAGGCACGAAAGCGUGGGGAGCAAACAGGAUUAGAUACCCCCGUAGUCCCUGAGCGGGCU